rnacentral:misc_RNA from 1 species
UCUAAUUAUUUUUUUAAAUUUUUAGCAGUUUUUCCAAAUUUCAUAAUGAAUGAGAUUUUGAUUUUUAAUCAUUAACAAAAAAUUGAAAAUGGGGGUUGCGCCCGUUAAAGGAGUUAACCAAACAUCUCAAAACACGAGCUAACGACAGCCAUGCAGCACCUGUCCAUCAACCUAAUUGUGUAAUAACAUUACCCAACUAAAUUCCGAUAUUUUACAAAGAAUAAGGUGAUGUUUCAAAGACUGGUAAGGUUUUGCGUGUUAUGUCGCAUUAAACCAGAUGCCCCACCGCUUGUUCAGACCUCCGUCAAUUCCUUAGAGUUUCAACCUUGCGACUUUACUGCCCAGGCGGAAUGUUUACGCGUUAGCUUGAACAUCGACCAAAAAUUGGCCAACAUUCAAC